UACAGACAGUAUUACAGCUCAAGGAAAGCUAGAGUCUUUGAGCCUGCCAGGAGGAGGGACUUCCCAUUUUCCCAGAGGGCUUCAGCGGCUGGGGAUGCUGGUGUUAAGUCUGGAGGGGAAGAAGAGCCCUGGGCUGAAUCCUCAGAUCAACGAUUGAUACAACUGUGGCUGGCAGGAAGUUACACCAGUGCCUGUGCCCUGCCAGGUCGUCCGUCCUGUUAGAGAAUGAGCCCAGACAAUGCUCCUCACUCCUCUCUUCUGAAGGCAGCCAAAGCGCAGAUAGAAGAGUUCAACUAUCCCAGACCAGCGUGAGUGACUGAACUGGAGGCCAUGGCAGCUGCAGAGAUCACAGGAAACCCGAUUCCCAGCUCCUUCCGAUGAUGUUUUUUUCCUUCAUCUUUACUGUUGUACCAUUGUCUUCCCUCUGG
rnacentral:lncRNA from 1 species